rnacentral:tRNA from 1 species
ACCUGGCUGGCUCAGUUGGAAGAGCAUGUGACUCUUGAUCUUGGGGUUGUGAGUUCGAGCCCCACACUGGGUG